ensembl:snRNA U2 U2 spliceosomal RNA
AUCGCUUCUCCGGCCCUUUUGGCUAAGAUCAAGUGUAGUAUCUGUUCUUAUCAGUUUAAUAUCUGAUACGUCCCCUACCCCGGGGACCCAUAUAUUAAAUUGAUUUUUGGAUCAGGGAGCCGGAACGGGGGGCUUGCUCCUUCCCACUCCACGCAUCGACCCGGUAUUGCAUUACCUCCAGGUACGGUGCACAUUCU